AAGUGGGAAUAGCCCAGAGAAAUUUGGAUUAAUACCCCGUAACAUAUAGAUGUGGCAUCACAAUUAUAUUAUAGGUUUACCGCUUAAAGAUGGGUGUGCGGCUGAUUAGAUAGUUGCGGGGUAAUGGCCCACCAAGUCUACGAUCAGUAGCUGAUGUGAGAGCAUGAUCAGCCACACGGGCACUGAGACACGGGCCCGACUCCUACGGGAGGCAGCAGUAAGGAAUAUUGGACAAUUGGACGCAAGUCUGAUCCAGCCAUGCCGCGUGAAGGAUUAAGGUCCUCUGGAUUGUAAACUUCUUUUAUAUGGGACGAAAAAAGGGCAUUCUUGCUCACUUGACGGUACCAUAUGAAUAAGCACCGGCUAACUCCGUG
rnacentral:rRNA from 1 species